CUUAAUGCCUAUAUUUUUUAUAAUGUAUUUUGCUGAAUUAGGAAAUUUUGGGUUUAAAACAUUAUGUAAUGGAACUUAAACUAAAAUAAUAAUAUAUAUCGAUCAACUUAAUUAUAUGCAGUAAGUAGUAAUACUAUUAUGAUUAAUACCGUAAUACGUAAUAACGUGUUUGUUACUAGUUCUUACCACAGACGGAUAGACAUACGGUUCAACUGGCAAUCUUAUAUCAGAAAGGUUUCAAGAAUUCUGGAGGAUGUAGUUUUGGUGUCUGGAGAUUUAAAUCCUUUCAUUGACAAGUUGCAACUUAUAACGUAAUGUAGAACAUGCGACAAGGCUAAGCCAGUGACCUUAAAAGGUAUAAGUGGCCCGGAUCUUUUUGAACCUCUGAGAAGGCCUGGUGAUAUGUAUAUUGAUUAUAAGACUAGGAUCUCUUGGCUUGUCGCAGCUACUGGGCCAUGGUUUCUGAGGAAGAGCUUUGUGAAAAUCCUUGUACAUUCACUGGUUGGAGAAGGCGUGAUCAUCAGUAAAUACCUUCCAGUUUAGAAAAGCCCAGCAAGAAUGAAAAAAAAAUCUUCACUUGUAUGCCAACAAUAUAAGAUUGCACAUUGUUAAAUAAGUUAAAAAACAUUCUCAUCAGUUUCGUAAUUAUUGUAUGGGAGGAUUCUUAGUUAUGUACUAAAAGUCUUUAAUUUCAUGGUCUUUGAUUAGGUAAAUAGAAAUGAAAUUCUUGUACAUUUAUCUCCAAUGCAAUGCAUGUAGAAUCAUUAUUCAGAAUUAUAUUAACAGUGUCAUACCUUAUGUACAUAUAUAACAUACAAGUCCACCAUUGGGACAGCAGUAAGUCUAAUUCUACAAAAUUACAAUUCUAAAAUCCAGGGUUUGAUUUCCUGCAUUGGACACAAUAGAUAGCCCAAUAUGACUUUGUUCUAAAAAACAAACAAAUAACAUAUAGAAUCUUUAAAAUGGUGGUUCCCAAGCUGACAAUGCUUUAACCCACUUACCAUGAUUUUCACGACACUCCUGCUGCUGCAUGCAGUAUUUUCUUUUGUAGAGUUUUUUUUUGUAUGUUCUUUAUUAUUCUUUGUUUGCUGAAACUCUAGCAACUUGCUGCAACACACUAAUGUGUCACAAUACAGAGUUUGGAAACCAUUACUUUAACAGUUGUCUGGCAAUGUUUUUUACUUGGCUAAAUAAGAAAAUGUUUAUGAUUAAGAUUGCAUAUGCCUCAUAAGUAAUCUCACUUUAUCAGAUUUCAUAGUUACAAAAGGAGUAUUUUCUUGAUUGUAUUGUAUAUAAUGCCCAUGUAGAAAUAAAAUCCUUCAAAUUUUGUCCAUUAACUAUUUAGUCAGCAAUUUAUAGCUACUAACAUUGUAGAUUUCCAUGUGUUUGAGUGAGUUAAUGUUUUCAACUAGCUCAAGAUACAACAUAUAUUAGAUUUAUUGAACGGGUAUAUCUCUUAUAGAGAAUUAGUAAACAUGUUUUUGUGACUGACUGUAUAACAUUGGUCAUAUGACAUCUGCAGCUGACAGACUUUGGGUUUCUGGUAUUCUAAUGUAUAAAUAGCAAUAUUACACUCAAUAUGAUUUUCAAUUUUUCACCAAUGGAAAAUCGUGAAAAUGAAUUGGCUAUUUAUAAAAUCCAAGGUCAUACUUUUCAUUUUGAAAAUCAGUCAGUGUUUGAAACUGUUUGUAAUAAUGCUAUAUUUUGGUGGUUGGUCAUAAUGUGAUGUAACUAUUACAGAGAAAUAUUCAGCAUUAGGUAUUUUGAGUUUGUGAUUAAUAUUGAUGAAUGUAAUAUUACACUUUUUUAUAGUAUUGAUAAAAAAAAAUCAUUGCGUUAUGCUUAGCGAGUACAUUUUGUAUCUUAUUUGAAAUAAAAAGUGUUAGAAAUUGAAACUACUGUCUCAGCAUGUGGUGUUUAAACAUGAAAUGAUUUUUACUUAGUGCUUAGGAGAAGGUUGUGGUAACUAGAAUUAAGUAAUUUUAAUGAUUAUUAGCUGAUAAAAACGUUUAUUCUCCAAAAUCAUUGCUUAACUACUAAUUAUAAAAUUACUUUAGCUAACAGUAAAAUUUUAUAAUGUACGUUACUAAACAUGAGAAUGGACUUAAUUAGCAUUUGUCAUUUGUGUGUGCAGUGUUAUUUCAAAGUUUUCAGUAGUUGAAAGUGAAGUGGAUAUUUAUUUCUUAAAUGAAGAACAGUGUGUUUUGCACGAUAAUUGUGUGUGCUAACAUUCUAUAGUGUUAAAUAACAAACAUUUAUAAACUAAGAUUUUUCAGGAAGAUGAAACUAAGGGAUGGUUGUUGAGUUUUGCUGUAAUUGUAUGGUUAUUACUGGGAGAUAUUUUAUUCAAGAAAUUAACUCGAGCUAGUUAAGGAUUUGUAACAGUUGGUAGUUUUAUAGAUUUUGUAGGAUAAUUACUGUUAAUGCUAUUUAUUAUCUACAUAAUGUAUCAGUUAGCAUAUAAAAAAAGGAGAGGAAAUGGACAGUUAACAUUUUACAUGCAUGAUCUUGUUUAAGGCUGGUCAAAGUUUGUACAUAAGAAUGAUUCCAUUGACACUUAGCUGAUGGUCAAUGCAGACAAUAUAGGAAACUAAAAGUUGUUUUAAUCCAACAGGAGUUUCAUACUAAUGAGACAUAUGUCACAUUAAAAUGGUUUAAAACUCUCAGCAUUAAUCAUCAGUUCAAAAUAAAUAAAUAAAAAUUCUUAUUUGCAAACUUUGGCCUGUUGUAAAUGAGAACUUCAGUGCCUAAUAGCAUACUUUACCUUGUGAGUUGAUCAAAUUAGUGUUGAUUUCGCCAAAUUUGUAAAAAUCUAGCUUUUUUUUAUAAUAUAGUAACAUUUUGUGGCAUGUCUUCAUGCUGAAAAAAGUUAUUUCAAAUUGUUAUUGUGAAAGAUUUAUCCAUCUAAUUUAAAAAAGAGCUAUACAGAAUAUAUUUGUACAAUUAUGCUAGUCCAUAGGAUAAUCAGACAAAGAGCAUGUGAUUCAUACCUGUCCAUCUGAUAAGAAUUAAAUAAAAUACUUUGAAAAGAGGGGUUUAUGGUUUACCUCUCUUUAGGAUACCAUGAAUCAACUAAACUCAGCACAAGCAUGAGGCUCAUUUAAGUUGGUCCAGAAAUCAAAGUUGGAAAGAUGUAUGAAUCAUUUAUUUUCAACACACUAUGAUUCAAAGUCUGUAGGAGUAUAGUUUUUCCAUUUGUGAUAUAUAUCAGGAAUCUAAAUGUAGAAGAGCAUAUAAUGUAUAUAUUUUUAAUGUAUCAGAAAUUCAUUUCAUGAAAGUGUAUAUCUGUAACAGAAUAUUGUCUUCUAUUUUCAGUAUACUAAGAAUCAAAUGUAAGGAAAAAUGUUUUCUAUUUACAACACACAAAAAGAAUCAGUCUAGAAAAGUAUAUGAAUAAUUUCAACAUAAUAAGAAUCAAAAUCAAAGAAAAUGUUGUUUUACUCUUUCAAUAUACUGAGAAUCAAAGUGUGGAAAAUUUUAAAAUUAUUUUGCAAUAUACCAGGAACCAAAAUAUGGGAAAAACAUGUAAUAUAUUUAUUUUUAAUUUAUCAAAAAUCCAUUUCCUAAAAACUUAUAGUUAAUUUAUUUUCAGUGUAUCAGAAAUCAAGAUCUUGAAAGCAGAUUUUCUUAAAAUUAGUUUGCAAUAUACUAGGAACCAAAAUGUGGGAAAACAUAAAUUUAUUUAUUUUUAAUUUAUCAAAAAUUCCUUUCUUAAGUAUUUCUGGUCAAUUUAUUCUCAGUGUAUUAGAAAUGAAGAUCUUGAAAGCAGAUUUUCUAUCUUCAUUGUACUUAUAGUAAAGUGUGGAAAAGACUUUGUUUUCUAUUUUCAAUGUAGAAGAAAUCAAUAUCAUGAAACAUUUGAUUCGUUAUUAUUUCAAGAAUUUGUGGAAUCCCAUAAUGCAAUAAAUGCAUGUGAUUCUUCUGAUUUCAAUGUCUCGGGAAUACUUUUCUUAUCAAGGUGGUUCAUUAUAUUACAGCAGGCACUGUAUAUCGCUUCACGUUACCAUUAGCCCUGGCCUGGCAUGCCAUGGUGGUUAGGGAGCUUGAUUUGUAAUCUGCAGGCUGCAGAUUUGAAUUUUGCCACUGAACAUGUUUGCCCUUUCAGCUGUGAGGACAUUCUAAUAUGAUGGUCAAUCUCACUUUUCAUUGGUAAAAGAGUAGCCCAUCAGUUGGCAGCAGGUUGUAUUAACUAGUUGCUUUUCCUCUAGUCUAUCACUUUUAAAUUAGGGAUGGCUAUUGCAGAUGGUGAUUAAGUAGAUUUAUGCCAUUUAGGAUGGUAUUAUAAAUUUUAUGUUGGACUUACCAACUUUUCUUGUUACCCUAAAUCACUGAUUUUGCAACAGAGAAAAUAUCAGAUGAUAUACAGGGAUACUGAAAAAAAAUUAAUGUGCAUUUAAGAGGUUGUAGGGGUUAUGCAACUUGCAAACUAUAUGAGAAACAAGUAUUUUUAUUCUUCACAUGAACAUCAUCUUGAACUCUGACCCAUUAGAAUCUGAGUCAGAAUGAUUUGACAUUUCACAGAUAUAUCUUUAGAAGAAAAUAUUUAGUAACAUAUCUGAUUUUUGUCUACAACAACCUUGUACUUGUAACUAAAAGCUUGCUACAGUUCUUGAAGAUAAACUUCAUAAAUUUGGAAUUAUAGUUAACAUUGCUUCUCCAAUAUAGGGUUAAUCCAUUGAAUUGACCCUUUACAUGUUCACUUAUAUAAUUGAGACUAAAAGUAGGCCAAUGCACGAGACAAAAUGGAACAAGCAUUUAUUGUAAGGAGCUGGUGAUUAGCAAAAUUUAAGUAGUUCAAUAUCUGCUUAAGAUAAGCAAGCUCAUGACUGAUGAAUCCUUAACUUUAGAGCAACUUCAACUCUACACCAACUCAAGUAGCUAGAUUCAACUGUAUGUCACAUUUGGUUAAUAAUUUGUUAGUUAUGCUAAGUCAUUCUCUAAUUCCUGUGGUGCAUGUUGGUUUUGAGUGGAUAUCUGUGUUCUUAUGUAUUCAACAUUUUCCUUCUUACAACAGAAUUAAACUUAUAAACAACAUAUAAUUAUUUACUCAUAGGUAGUCUUCAAAAUUAGUUUUUUAAGGUUUGGUUUCAAAUCACACUUAAGUUAUAUCUGUGUCUAUACUCAUGUUAAAAGUAUUGUUAACUUUUUCUUUUACUUAGAAAGUAUGUAAUCUUCUGUAUGAUAAAACUGAAGCAAAGUUUCUAAAAGUGAUGAACAUUGAGGUCUUUAUCAGUAAGACCAGAAUGUAAAAAAUUUACUCAGUUUUAUUACAUGUAUAAUUUUGAAUAUUUUCAUUUAAGUGUACUACUAAUAUUGAAAACUUUAAUGAUAUGCCAUACAAAUUUAAGUUUAAAACUCAAAAGGUUAAAACAAUUUCAUUAAAACCAAAUGGUUUUUGACAUUAUCAAUCUAGACUUUUUUAAACAACCUUAAAUAUUAAAAACAUUUUAGAACUAACAAUAUUAAAAACUUAAUGAACAGUUAAUCAGAUUAAUGUUUAUUGCAUCUAAUACAAAAUAAGCAAAAUGAGAAUAAAAUCACUUAAUUUUAUUGGACUUCUAAUCUUGGAUUAUUUUUAGACAAUUGCAAAGUGUACAACUAAAAAGUAAAAAAUUGUUAGUUUUUAAUUAACCAAAUAAAUUUUUGAUGUAAUUGUGAAAAAAAAAAUCAAAGUGAGGAUAAAAAUCUUAACGUUUAUUUUUUGAUAAACUAAUGUAAGUUUCUUAUCAUAGUUGACCAUCAAACAUAUAAACAUUAAAUUUACAUAGGAAAGU